CUUGACUUCCACUGUAGUCAGUAAUUUUAUCCUAAUAUGCUCCUAUUGCAUCCUGUCAGGUUUGUCUUAGAUGUUUCAAUUCAAAGCUGUUUUCUCACAUUAUAAGAUAAAUGAAAAAUAGUUCGUAUUGCUGAUGAGCUUGACUUCGUUUGCAGUUAUGAACAACGGCCAUGACAGAAGAUUGUGUAUCAACUUCAUAAACCUUAAAAUUCAGUGUCGGAUUUCCAUGUGGGAUCAGACCAGACACUCAUGCUGAGGGCUGCUGGUGUUGCAUACUUGGGCAGAAACAUGACCAACCCAGCGAUGAUGAUGAGCUGAAGCAUAAAUUGUGACUCCGAUUUCAGGCUUGCCCAUUGGGGAUCUUUAUCUUCGUGUCCACCACUGGGCUUAGCAGCACGUCCAAAGAUGGAGGUGACACUGCAGAACAGUUUCAUCAAAGUCACUGGUUAACUGGUGCUUUGUCUGCGUGUGUGGUGGUGGAAGCGCUGGAUCACUGCUCUCCGAGGCACUCGGUGAAGGAGCAAAGCCAAGACCUAAUUUUCAUCUGAACUCCACGCUGCUAAUUAUUACUAGUUAAGUGUCUAUUCUAAUCUUGUUCUCCCUCACGUAUAGUUAAUAGAGACAGAUAUGCUCUCCAGAGGGUACUUCACUUCACUUCCCAUACACAGCCGUCGCAGGAUGGGCCGAAUCACCCUCUGGAAGUGGUUGUCUCUCUGCGGGGGUUACAUGAAUAGCUGAGAUGAGAUGCUGGCAUCUCGCCUUGUCAAGCAGGCAUUUCAGCUGGAUCUGGUUGUGGGCUUCCUAGAGCACAUGGGGUCCUCACUAAGCAGCUUCUAACACAUCGUAAGGUCAUUUUUUGAUGGGAAAAAGGACUGUGGAGUGUGUGCACAAAUACAGGAUGAGUAAAUGUUAACUAGUAAGUCAGUCAUUGGUCUUGGUUUGCAGGUCCAAGAGUUGCCCACAACGCAUCUGUUCAAGGAGGCUGAGGGUCCAUGCAGUGGAGAAAAUGACUGCAGUCGGCUCCAGGAGAAGAAUUGA
rnacentral:lncRNA from 1 species